rnacentral:rRNA from 1 species
UAGGGAAUCUUCCACAAUGGGCGAAAGCCUGAUGGAGCAACGCCGCGUGUGUGAUGAAGGGUUUCGGCUCGUAAACNCUGUUGUAAGAGAAGAAUGACAUUGAGAGUAACUGUUCAAUGUGUGACGGUAUCUUACCAGAAAGGAACGGCUAAAUACGUGCCAG